UUCAAACGAGAAAACUAACAACCUUAUUUAUGUACAAAAUAAUGAACGACAAACAAAUAUGUUACCCAGCAACAAUAAACAACCUAUGAAUUACAGCCUCCUGACUUGGUACAGGCACAUAUUAAAUGUGGUUGGGUUAAACAUGUUUGGUGGCACCCCUAACCUUGGACAGUGGUGAAAUAGCUCAACACAAGAACAAAUUAUACAAA
rnacentral:lncRNA from 1 species